GCAGAUGGCAUCUUGGAAUUUGCUUCAACAUAGGAAUUAAGAAAAACAGUCUUGAUGAUCAUGGUUUUCUUGAUAUCCAAUGGGGUUUCGAAAGGAUUUCACAAGCCCACAAGGGAGGACCUGAAGCGAGAGACAAGCAUGAGGACGGUGCAGCUUGAGAGGAGUAGUUCAUAUGUGGGCUAUAUGAGGAGGGGGGAUGAGGGGAGAAGACGGGUGAAUUAGUGGGGUGAGGAAGACGGGUGACUCACAGGCUUCCAGUAAGAGGUCUGACUCAGCUACUGGAAGCCCCCUGACCCUGCCUGGAGACAAUAUGUGGCCAGUAAACUGUGUUUUUUAUAUUCCUGUAGAAAAGAGAGAUCUUAAAGGUCUAAAAUAUGGAAACAUGGAAAAAAAGAGAUUGCAGCAAGGGAAUAUGUAUGCUAACCAACAGCUGUCACUACGGUUGCUUUUUCUGGGGUUAGGGGUGAAAAUGUGUGUAGGUCCUUAUAAACUGUAGAGAUUACAAAUAAUGCACAAUAAUCAGUUUUUCGUCACUGCCGAGACAACAAAGAAAAAUAUCCUCAGACUUUACACUUUUGUCAGGCCUCAAAUCAG